UACGUAGGUGGCAAGCGUUGUUCGGAUUCAUUGGGCGUAAAGGGUGCGUAGGCGGCGGGGCAAGUCAGGUGUGAAAUCCCGGAGCUCAACUCCGGAACUGCAUUUGAUACUGCCUCGCUAGAGUACUGGAGAGGAGACUGGAAUUUACGGUGUAGCAGUGAAAUGCGUAGAGAUCGUAAGGAAGACCAGUGGCGAAGGCGAGUCUCUGGACAGUUACUGACGCUGAGGCACGAAGGCCAGGGGAGCAAACGGG
rnacentral:rRNA from 1 species